rfam:Ovis aries breed Texel chromosome 2, whole genome shotgun sequence.
UCCCUGAUAGCUCAGUUGGUAAAGAAUCUGCCUGCAAUGCAGGGGACCCUGGUUCAAUUCCUGGGCCAGGGCG